CUAUUCGGUAGGUGAGGCUAUUACAGAGAUACGGGUUGCUGCCGCGGAAUCGUGGAGACACGAUGAGAAGGUUGAACAGGCUGCGUCGAAUCAAGGGGCAGCAUAAUGCAACUUCAUCGCUUUGUAAAGUUGAAGCUCGGACGAAGAG
rnacentral:sRNA from 1 species